AAGACAUCUCGUUUCUUCUUCCUCUCCUCCGUUUCCUUACUCAGCGCUUUGGAAUAUACUCGUCUUCCUCGCUACCUCUAUCUCUUCUUCUCUUCUCUCUCUUGUGUACUCUCUCUCUCUCUCUCUCUCUCUCUCUCUAUCUCUCAAAGAUCACCACUUUUAAUGGUCGCUGGCUCUCUUUGCGGAUCACCGCCUCUCGAGCAUGAUUACAUAGGUCUCUCGGAGCUCCACUGCCCCGCCGCCGCCGCCGGCAUUGGCGGCGGCGGAGCCGAGGACGGGGCUCUCAACCUGAAGGAUACGGAGCUGAGGCUGGGCCUCCCUGGGUCGGAGCCCGCUGAACGGAAGGACGAGGUUGGCCUCACCCUGGGGCGCCUCCCUAAGGUCUUCGUCUCCGGCGCCAAGAGGGGGUUCUCUGACGCCAUCGACGGGGCGGGGAAGUGGGGCCUCGCUGCCGGAGGGGGCGGAUCCGAGGUGGAGGGCGGGAAAGGUGGCGCCUUGUUCUCGCCGAGAGGGGAGAACGGUGGCGGGGGGCUGCUGCCCGGGCACGGCAACGCCGGCAAGGAUGUGGUGGCGAAGGCAGCCGGGCAAGAGCGGAAGGCCGCCGCCGCCGCACAGGUUGGGAAUUCUGCUGGUAGUGAUCGUGGCGUCGCGCCUGCUGCCAAGGCACAGGUGGUAGGUUGGCCACCGAUCCGCAGCUACCGUAAGAACACUAUGGCAACAAAUCCAUCAAAGAACAAGGAAGAUGCCGAUGGAAAACAAGGUCUAGGAUGUCUUUACGUCAAGGUCAGCAUGGAUGGAGCACCGUACCUUAGGAAAGUUGACCUGAAGACGUACAACAAUUAUAACGAGUUCUCCGUGGCACUCGAGAAGAUGUUCAGUGGCUUCACCAUCGGCCAGUGCGGUUCUCAUGCAAUACCAAGCCGAGAUGGGUUAUCCGAGAGCAGGUUGAUGGAUCUUCUGAGUGGUUCCGAAUAUGUGCUCACUUGUGAAGACAAAGAUGGUGACUGGAUGCUUGUCGGAGAUGUGCCAUGGGAGAUGUUCAUCGACUCUUGCAGGAGGCUGAGGAUAAUGAAGGGUUCAGAUGCAAUUGGACUUGAUACUGCUACAAGGUGAAGCUCCACUACCUGUGUUCGAGUUUUGAUCAGAAAAUGCGUCUACUUAUUGGAAGUAAAACCUAUGCUCCAAGGGCCAGGGAGAAAUGCAAGAACCGUAACUAGGGGCCAUCGCCGACCCUUCUAUGAAAUCAAACAUGAAUCAGGUGCCUCCGUAGGGGCCUCCGAAAUGUUUAACAAGGCCACCGGCAACCGUCAUAUAUCUAUCAUAUUGCAUAGUUUGCUACUAAGACUCUGUUAGCUAAGAUUCCCUAGGAUCAUAUAAGCUAUUUAUGAUUGUGAAUUUGGUGUUUGUAUGUCUGUCUUGCUAUUGUUGUAUGUCUGAACAUUUGGCUUGCUGUUUGCAACUGUUAUAAUUUAAGUGUCCUAUUUGAGACUGCUGUUUACAA